rnacentral:rRNA from 1 species
UUGAUCAUGGCUCRGGACGAACGCUGGGCAGGCCUAACACAUGCAAGUCGAACGCUCUCUUCGGAGAGAGUGGCGCACGGGUGAGUAACACGUGGGAACCUACCCUGAGGUGCGGAAUAACCAUUGGAAACGAUGGCUAAUACCGCAUUAAUCUACGGGGGAAAGAUUUAUCGCCUUGGGAUGGGCCCGCGGUCGAUUAGCUAGUUGGUGUGGUAAUGGCGCACCAAGGCGACGAUCGAUAGCUGGUCUGAGAGGAUGAUCAGCCACACUGGGACUGAGACACGGCCCAGACUCCUACGGGAGGCAGCAGUGGGGAAUAUUGGACAAUGGCCGCACGUGAAUCCAGCCAUGCCGCGUGAGUGAUGAAGGCCUUCGGGUUGUAAAGCUCUUUCAGGUGGGACGAUGAUGACGGUACCACCAGAAGAAGCCCCGGCUAACUUCGUGCCAGCAGCCGCGGUAAUACGGRGGGGGCUAGCGUUGUUCGGAAUCACUGGGCGUAAAGCGCGCGUAGGSGGUCAUGCCAGUCAGGGGUGAAAGCCCAGGGCUCAACCCUGGAACGGCCUUUGAUACUGCAUGACUUGAGUUCGGGAGAGGGGUAUGGRAUUCCCAGUGUAGAGGUGAAAUUCGUAGGUAUUGGGAAGAACACCAGUGGCGAAGGCGGUGCCCUGGCCGAGACUGACGCUGAGGUGCGAAACGUGGGGAGCAACAGGUUAGAUACCUGGKAGUCCCAUUAGAGUGAAUCGUAGUAUUGGAAGAACACCAGUGCGAAGCGUCCCUGCCCGAGACUACGCUUAGGUCGAAACCGUUGGAGCAAACAGGAUUAGAUUCCCUGAUGUCACGCCGUAACGAUAGUGCUUAUUUCGGGCGCAUUCGYCCGGUGUCGCASUACGCAUUUAGCACUCCGCCUGGGAGUCGGCCGCAAGGUUAAACUCAAAGGAAUUACGGGGGCCGCACAAGCGGUGGAGCAUGUGGUUUAAUUCGAAGCAACGCGCAGAACCUUACCAGCCCUUGACAUCCCGUGACCGCUCUGGAGACAGAGUUUUUCUCGGGGACACGGUGACAGGUGCUGCAUGGUGUCGUCAGCUCGUGNCGUGAGAUGUUGGGUUCAGUCCCGCAACGAGCGCAACCCNUGCCAUBCAGNNNNCGGCUGGGCACUCUGAAGGAACUGCCGGUGACAAGCCGGAGGAAGGUGGGGAUGACGUCAAGUCCUCAUGGCCCUUACGGGCUGGGCUACACACGUGCUACAAUGGCGACUACAAUGGGCAGCGACACGGCGACGUAAAGCUAAUCUCCAAAAGUCGUCUCAGUUCGGAUUGCACUCUGCAACUCGGGUGCAUGAAGUCGGAAUCGCUAGUAAUCGUGGAUCAGCAUGCCACGGUGAAUACGUUCCCGGGCCUUGUACACACCGCCCGUCACACCAUGGGAGUUGGUUCUACCCGAAGACGGUACGCUAACCGCAAGGAGGCAGCCGGCCACGGUAGGGUCAGCGGCUUGGGUGAAGUCGUAACAUG